UACGGGAGGCAGCAGUGGGGAAUAUUGGACAAUGGGCGAAAGCCUGAUCCAGCAAUGCCGCGUGAGUGAUGAAGGCCUUAGGGUUGUAAAGCUCUUACCCGGGAUGAUAAUGACAGUACCGGAGAGAGCCGCCA
rnacentral:rRNA from 1 species